UACGGGGGGGGGGGCAAGCGUUGUUCGGAAUUACUGGGCGUAAAGGGCUCGUAGGCGGCCAACUAAGUCAGACGUGAAAUCCCCAGGCUCAACCUGGGAACUGCGUCUGAUACUGGAUGGCUUGAAUUCGGGAGAGGGAUGCAGAAUUCCAGGUGUAGCGGUGAAAUGCGUAGAUAUCUGGAGGAAUACCGGUGGCGAAGGCGGCAUCCUGGACCGACAUUGACGCUGAGGAGCGAAAGCCAGGGGAGCGAACGGG
rnacentral:rRNA from 1 species